AACCUUAUGGACCUGCGGGCGUAUACCUGCGGAAGGAUCAUUAUAGAGUUUUCUAAACUCCCAACCCAUGUGAACUUACCUUUUGUUGCCUCGGCAGAAGUUAUAGGUCUUCUUAUAGCUGCUGCCGGUGGACCAUUAAACUCUUGUUAUUUUAUGUAAUCUGAGCGUCUUAUUUUAAUAAGUCAAAACUUUCAACAAUGGAUCU
rnacentral:misc_RNA from 1 species